GGUAGCUCAGUUGGAUAGAGCAACGGCUUCCUAAGCUGCAGGUCGGGGGUUCAAAUCCCUCCC
rnacentral:tRNA from 1 species